GGCGUUGUUGUGUCGUCAACAGACGCUUCGCAGUUGGUGUACCGAGGACGCGAGCGCGUUAAUAACAAAGCUGUGUGCGUGUGUGUGUGUGUAUGUGUGGGGCGUAAGCUCGCUGCUAGCUCGUACACUGCAGUUUCACGGAAACAAACAACCGGGUAAAGGACGCUUGGCACUUCCGUUAUUGGAUUCAAUUAGCCCUCUGUGAGGUAGACACAACGGACGCAGACUUGCCUGGUGGCAUUGUUCGCAUCGCGCGACUGUGAAAUGUUCUUCCAAGUUUCGACCGUGUCAUCGCGGCGUCAAAGCAAUAUGGACACACCGCGUACGUGCAAAUUGCAGCGUCAUGCAGCUGAAUAAUGUUAUUCCGAGCUUUUCAACUUGUGCGAGAGGUAAUUAUUGUAGUGAAAAGUUUUGUGCACGCUGUGUUUCGUGAUGAGUUUCUUCCUCGUUUGAGGCGUCGCGUCGUGGCAGCGAUCAGUGUCAUCCAGAAGCGGUAGGUGAUAUCUCGUCACUUACGGGGGUCAAGAGGAGGUGCGGGCGGAUGCUGUAAGGUGUUUUCCGUGCCCCAGGGUGGCUGGAGGUGACUGCCGGACAAGUAAGAUACAGAAAUACCUUCUUCGUCCAAGGGAAGGAGACUAAAAUGUACGGCAUUUUGAUCGCGGGGAUGCAAAGACGUCGACAAGAGAGAGUCUGUAAGCAUCGAUUGGAUGAAUCCGGCCAUCAACUACGACUGCAGUUCUUCGUCAACUGUAUCUGCUCACCCGGUAUGAGAAAUCUAGGCUGUCGGGAUGAGCGGAUAUUCAAUUAGCCAGCACUCCGUUUGAAGAAGACUACAACGGAAAAGCCCCGAUGAUUCAAACCCGCAUCCUCAAUCUCCCGGAGCAGCUUGAAGCAUGGUAAAGGAAUCCCCGCCAGCGGGGUUAAAGAAUCGAAUAUCCACUUCAUCCCUUGAUUCAUCUGGUGCAAAGCGGAAAGUCGAAUGAUUCGAUUCCCAUUUGAAACACGAUUCGGCCCAAUUUCCGGCCAUGGAACCGGCGUAAUUAAAUUUGUAUUACAGAGACAAAAAUGAAUGCCAGAUUAAUGCGUCUACUCUUGUUAUUCUACUUACGCUGAUUUUCACCCGCAUGUUUAUAAUCUAAAAGCCACCAAAAGCAAUAUCAUUUGCUUACGGUUUUUAGACGUGCAAUAAUUCUGCAGUUCCGACAAUUAAGUCGCCGCUGCAAUGCCGGAACGCUUACAAAGAUUGCAGGACGUUCUACGUGAGUGCUUGUAUCAGUUUUACUCGCACACUAAUUCCCUUACCGUUAAAACGGUCUGAAAUCUCAUUACGUCAAAAGUAAUGACAGCUUGAAUUUAUAUAUCCUAACAGCUGCUGCUCCACUUUGGUAUCAGGGUACCUACGAGACAUAACAGCCACGGCGUUUUACGUAUUCAAGCUGUAAAAGUGUUCCUCGUAUAAUUUUUUGAGAAAAAAUUAACUUUUUAAAGUGAUUCUUCCUUACGGGUAAGUUCUGCAAAUCAUACCAAGGGUUAAAGCUUGUGCGAGUAAACUGAUCCUCAUCACUAAGGAACCCUAAAAAUUACACCUUUUGAACAUUCGAAUUAACGCUUUUCUUGCAACUGCCCAUAAUUUCCAUUCCGAAAACUAUUCCCCAAGUGACCGCAGCGGAUGCUUGUUCUUUUUUCGGAAGUAACCCUUGGGUCUAGUUGAUGUCCUGCACGAACAUUUCCAAAAUAGUUAGGGUAACUGUUGUGCCAGCUCUGCAUGCCUGUGAAUUACGGCUUAAGAACUACCGGAUUACGUUCACACUGCAAAAACCUCGUGUCUAGAGAUGGUAUCACGUAACUGUAAACCGGUUUUUAUCUUAACAUACAUUUUAUUGCUCAAAAUUUUUUGAUGAGAAUUCAAUAGUAAGACUCUAAAAAAGCUGUACACCCAACGCAUGUAGUCUUCCUGAAAAACUACGAGUGUAUAGGAGAAUCAAAUCCAAACAGGUUCCUCUGUUUAUUCAGCAACGAAACAUCGGAGCCGAACAACCCUCAACCGCUAAUCAAGUAUACAUGAAGCCAGAUAUAUAUAUAUAUAUAUAUGACAUCGCUCAAAAAGGUAAACUACUACUUUCAUCUAUCAUCGAAUUAAUAAUCUGCUGCAUGUACAAAUACAACGAGUGAUUCACACGGAAUCGGCUAUAUAUAAGAACAAAAGCUUCUAAUACUAACACCUGCGCAGGUACCACACACGAGAAUAUUAUCAGUACGUUUCGAAUGAAUGUAUGUAGUACAAACAUAGCAGUGAAGAACAUUGAACGAAAUGAGUUUCAGAGUCUAGCGCAUGUUUUUUUUUCUAAUUUAAAUGUGGAAUUUCCGUACUGAUAUCUUCUGCUUCUUUGAAUUAAGAUGUGCGAAAAAAUCUUUCGCGGGCCACAGAGCAAUUCUUCGCUAACGCUAAUGCAAUAUAUUGUAGAAUGUAUGCAAAGCGAGCAAGGUAGCAAUUGCUGCUUUAGCUGAUAUUUUAAUUUAUGUUCAAGAAUAUUCAUUCGCAAAAAAAUUUCUUAAUAUUGAAGAUGGUGUGUAUUUAAGUUUUUUUAAACCUAAUCUAUGAACAUUUACUUUUGCUUCAGAAGAUACGCGUAUUACGCAUUAAGAAAUAUAUCUGAGCGAAUGUUAUUUCAUCGCAGAAUGAUCAAUGCAAUCAUAUUUCAAAUACCUACAGUGUUUAUUUUUUUCCCCGUAAAACAUCCUAACGAAUUUUUCUCUCAAGUCUAUAAUCCUACUAUAAUCCGUAGUGUUCUGUACCGGAUAUACAAAAAU